rnacentral:rRNA from 1 species
CGACACACUAUCAUUAACUGAAUCCAUAGGUUAAUGAGGCGAACCGGGGGAACUGAAACAUCUAAGUACCCCGAGGAAAAGAAAUCAACCGAGAUUCCCCCAGUAGCGGCGAGCGAACGGGGAGGAGCCCAGAGCCUGAAUCAGUGUGUGUGUUAGUGGAAGCGUCUGGAAAGGCGCGCGAUACAGGGUGACAGCCCCGUACACAAAAAUGCACAUACUGUGAGCUCGAUGAGUAGGGCGGGACACGUGGUAUCCUGUCUGAAUAUGGGGGGACCAUCCUCCAAGGCUAAAUACUCCUGACUGACCGAUAGUGAACCAGUACCGUGAGGGAAAGGCGAAAAGAACCCCGGCGAGGGGAGUGAAAAAGAACCUGAAACCGUGUACGUACAAGCAGUGGGAGCCUCUUUUAUGGGGUGACUGCGUACCUUUUGUAUAAUGGGUCAGCGACUUAUAUUCUGUAGCAAGGUUAACCGAAUAGGGGAGCCGAAGGGAAACCGAGUCUUAACUGGGCGUUAAGUUGCAGGGUAUAGACCCGAAACCCGGUGAUCUAGCCAUGGGCAGGUUGAAGGUUGGGUAACACUAACUGGAGGACCGAACCGACUAAUGUUGAAAAAUUAGCGGAUGACUUGUGGCUGGGGGUGAAAGGCCAAUCAAACCGGGAGAUAGCUGGUUCUCCCCGAAAGCUAUUUAGGUAGCGCCUCGUGAAUUCAUCUCCGGGGGUAGAGCACUGUUUCGGCAAGGGGGUCAUCCCGACUUACCAACCCGAUGCAAACUGCGAAUACCGGAGAAUGUUAUCACGGGAGACACACGGCGGGUGCUAACGUCCGUCGUGAAGAGGGAAACAACCCAGACCGCCAGCUAAGGUCCCAAAGUCAUGGUUAAGUGGGAAACGAUGUGGGAAGGCCCAGACAGCCAGGAUGUUGGCUUAGAAGCAGCCAUCAUUUAAAGAAAGCGUAAUAGCUCACUGGUCGAGUCGGCCUGCGCGGAAGAUGUAACGGGGCUAAACCAUGCACCGAAGCUGCGGCAGCGACGCUUAUGCGUUGUUGGGUAGGGGAGCGUUCUGUAAGCCUGCGAAGGUGUGCUGUGAGGCAUGCUGGAGGUAUCAGAAGUGCGAAUGCUGACAUAAGUAACGAUAAAGCGGGUGAAAAGCCCGCUCGCCGGAAGACCAAGGGUUCCUGUCCAACGUUAAUCGGGGCAGGGUGAGUCGACCCCUAAGGCGAGGCCGAAAGGCGUAGUCGAUGGGAAACAGGUUAAUAUUCCUGUACUUGGUGUUACUGCGAAGGGGGGACGGAGAAGGCUAUGUUGGCCGGGCGACGGUUGUCCCGGUUUAAGCGUGUAGGCUGGUUUUCCAGGCAAAUCCGGAAAAUCAAGGCUGAGGCGUGAUGACGAGGCACUACGGUGCUGAAGCAACAAAUGCCCUGCUUCCAGGAAAAGCCUCUAAGCAUCAGGUAACAUCAAAUCGUACCCCAAACCGACACAGGUGGUCAGGUAGAGAAUACCAAGGCGCUUGAGAGAACUCGGGUGAAGGAACUAGGCAAAAUGGUGCCGUAACUUCGGGAGAAGGCACGCUGAUAUGUAGGUGAAGCGACUUGCUCGUGGAGCUGAAAUCAGUCGAAGAUACCAGCUGGCUGCAACUGUUUAUUAAAAACACAGCACUGUGCAAACACGAAAGUGGACGUAUACGGUGUGACGCCUGCCCGGUGCCGGAAGGUUAAUUGAUGGGGUUAGCGGUAACGCGAAGCUCUUGAUCGAAGCCCCGGUAAACGGCGGCCGUAACUAUAACGGUCCUAAGGUAGCGAAAUUCCUUGUCGGGUAAGUUCCGACCUGCACGAAUGGCGUAAUGAUGGCCAGGCUGUCUCCACCCGAGACUCAGUGAAAUUGAACUCGCUGUGAAGAUGCAGUGUACCCGCGGCAAGACGGAAAGACCCCGUGAACCUUUACUAUAGCUUGACACUGAACAUUGAGCCUUGAUGUGUAGGAUAGGUGGGAGGCUUUGAAGUGUGGACGCCAGUCUGCAUGGAGCCGGCCUUGAAAUACCACCCUUUAAUGUUUGAUGUUCUAACGUUGGCCCCUGAUCGGGGUUGCGGACAGUGUCUGGUGGGUAGUUUGACUGGGGCGGUCUCCUCCUAAAGAGUAACGGAGGAGCACGAAGGUUGGCUAAUCCUGGUCGGACAUCAGGAGGUUAGUGCAAUGGCAUAAGCCAGCUUGACUGCGAGCGUGACGGCGCGAGCAGGUGCGAAAGCAGGUCAUAGUGAUCCGGUGGUUCUGAAUGGAAGGGCCAUCGCUCAACGGAUAAAAGGUACUCCGGGGAUAACAGGCUGAUACCGCCCAAGAGUUCAUAUCGACGGCGGUGUUUGGCACCUCGAUGUCGGCUCAUCACAUCCUGGGGCUGAAGUAGGUCCCAAGGGUAUGGCUGUUCGCCAUUUAAAGUGGUACGCGAGCUGGGUUUAGAACGUCGUGAGACAGUUCGGUCCCUAUCUGCCGUGGGCGCUGGAGAACUGAGGGGGGCUGCUCCUAGUACGAGAGGACCGGAGUGGACGCAUCACUGGUGUUCGGGUUGUCAUGCCAAUGGCACUGCCCGGUAGCUAAAUGCGGAAGAGAUAAGUGCUGAAAGCAUCUAAGCACGAAACUUGCCCCGAGAUGAGUUCUCCCUGAGACUUUAAGUCUCCUGAAGGAACGUUGAAGACGACGACGUUGAUAGGCCGGGUGUGUAAGCGCAGCGAUGCGUUGAGCUAACCGGUACUAAUGAACCGUGAGGCUUAACCUU